GCAGUUGUCCGGGGCGCUGCAAGGACUCUAUUGAGGCAUUUGGUGGACGCCGCAGGAACCCACAGCCAGAGGUGGAUGCCAAGAUGCACAUCUUCCUCUGUCUGGCAAGCUCUGCUGACCCCUGAGGUUUUUCCCACGCUUGCAGAGGAUGGAAAUGUACACCUGGUUGGAUCUACGAUGACCCAAAUGCAAUCUAGUAAGGUUUGGCCAAGUGUGGUGGGAAAGGAAGAUGUAGGCUCCUAAGCAAACUUCUGGAUUGGGGACACCAGCACCAGAUGCUCUUGCACUUCCUGACCUCCCUGGGUGGCAGCAUUGGAAGUGCCUGGACCCUUGGAAAGGGCUAAGUGAUUCCUUCAUCAUUACCAGAAUGUAGUUUGUGUUCAACAGGUGGCGGUGGAGAACUGUGGCCUUCUGUUCAGCGCAAAAAGUCUACUGAGGAUCUAGGUGGAUAGAACAGGAACGCAGAGCAAUAGUUGGAUGCCUAUAUGCACAUCUUCCUCUGUCUGGCAAGCUCUGCUGACCCCUGAGGUCGUUUCCAUGCUUGCAGAGGUCCUAUCUGCUUGGUGUCAGUUGUGCCUUGUGUUCACUUGGCUUUCACCGGGUGUUGUUGCCUUAUAAUAUUUUCCCAACCUGUUCACAAGCAGGAGGUCCCCUUGGCCUCCGUGUCUCGCUCUGGCCAGGCAGAUGUGGUGCGCCAACGGUACACAGAGUCCAGACCCUGAGCAGAACAACUGAGGAGAGAGGCUGCCCUGGGUGAGACAGGAGAAGUGCCCCUUGGAGUGGGGGACGCCCCACUGGCGCUGCCUCUCGCAUCCACCGGCAGCACGUUCCUUCUCUCUCCUUGCUGCCCGGCGCUUUGCCGUCUCCCAGGGCUCACCAAGUCCAAAUGUUCCCCGAUGGAGUCCAACUCCAGCUUGACCAACACUCACCCCAUCUUGUCCCUGCACCAGCUGGCUUAGGGCUCCCCAGCAUUGCUGGCUGUCGCUGCCUUCUGUCGCUCCCAGUCAGCAUGGCUCUGUUCUUUGCUUUUUGGGUUCCAGAGUGUUUGCUACAGGUUAUGGAGUGUUUCUCUUCUCUCUCUUCUUGUCCUCCAUGUUGCCUGUUGGCGCCUCGGUGGAGUUUCAGUGACCCAAAUGCAGACUGCUCUGCGUUGCCCAAGCGUGAUGCCAAGAGAAGAGGUAGGCACCAGAACAGGCUGCUGGAUAGGAGACUCUGCCGUCAGAUGGCGUUGCCUGUUCUUCUCUCCCCAGUUUGCAGAGUUGGAUGUGACCUCAGCACUGGAUAAGGGGUAAGUGAUUCCUCCAUCCUGACCAGAAGGUAAUCUCUACUUGUCUUGUGCUGUGUGGAACAGGUUGCAGUGGAGAAGUGCAGUUGUCCGGGGCGCUGCAAGGACUCUAUUGAGGCAUUUGGUGGACGCCGCAGGAACCCACAGCCAGAGGUGGAUGCCAAGAUGCACAUCUUCCUCUGUCUGGCAAGCUCUGCUGACCCCUGAGGUUUUUCCCACGCUUGCAGAGGUUGUAUGGGUUUGGUGUUGGUUGUGGCUUGUGCUCACCUUGCUGUCACCGGGUGUUCUUCCUUUGCCCAUCAUAGGGCU
ensembl:lncRNA